GAUGAACGCUGGCGGCGUGCCUAAUACAUGCAAGUCGAGCGAACGGACGAGAAGCUUGCUUCUCUGAUGUUAGCGGCGGACGGGUGAGUAACACGUGGAUAACCUACCUAUAAGACUGGGAUAACUUCGGGAAACCGUAGCUAAUACCGGAUAAUAUUUUGAACCGCAUGGUUCAAAAGUGAAAGACGGUCUUGCUGUCACUUAUAGAUGGAUCCGCGCUGCAUUAGCUAGUUAGUAAGGUAACGGCUUACCAAGGCAACGAUGCAUAGCCGACCUGAGAGGGUGAUCGGCCACACUGGAACUGAGACACGGUCCAGACGCCUACGGGAGGCAGCAGUAGGGAAUCUUCCGCAAUGGGCGAAAGCCUGACGGAGCAACGCCGCGUGAGUGAUGAAGGUCUUCGGAUCGUAAAACUCUGUUAUUAGGGAAGAACAUAUGUGUAAGUAACUGUGCACAUCUUGACGGUACCUAAUCAGAAAGCCACGGCUAACUACGUG
rnacentral:rRNA from 1 species